UGUAACGUGUCUUCCACCUGUCUUCAUUCUCAACUCCUUCCACGCACAAUAGAGAGAGAAAAGCUUUCACCAACCCUUGCUACACAAAGCAGAUCUGUCAUAUGAAAGAGGGGGAGAUAUGGAAGUCGAUUAAAAAGGAUCUGAAACAAAUUUUAGGCUUCCAAUGAAGACGACAUCUUUCCACUGCCACCACAACCCCUUUCUUUUCUCUCUGUUCGUCCAACAACAUGUCAUUAGUAAGGAAUAGAGAGAGACUAAGAGAGAGAAAGGGUGCGCAAAGAGAGAUAGAGAGGUCGGAGACGAGAAUUAGAGGGACUACGCGACGGCAACAACGGUGGUUGAUGGUUAGUAUUCGGGGUUCAGCCACACGUGUUGGCGGAGAUGGUGGAAUCGGCGGCGAUUUGGGAAUUCUUGGAGUGGAUCUUGCGGCGGCUGUGACUCAACCAGCAGCGACAACGAAUUUUUGUGGUGUAAUUCUGAAGUAAAAUUACCCUCGAGACGAUUCAUUUUGAGAGACAAAAAGGCCUAAAUCAACUCAUUGCCUCAUUUGAAUGGUUGUAUGGAAGUUAUGUAAAGCAUUGCUCAUAGGUUUACUAGCUGAAGCCCACUGUCCUCAUAGGUUUAGCAUUUAGGAACACAGAUCAGGGGAAAGGAUUUUUAUUUAUUUAUUUUGUUUUUGUAACUUCAAAAAACAUGGUGGGAAUUUAAAAAAAAAUGGAAAAAGGAGGUGUUGUGUGGUGACCAAGAAGAAAGGAAAGAAAGAUUACGAUGGUGUUGGCAAAGUUUGAUGCAACUGGAGUAGUGUGUUGCAAGUUAUAAAAAAUGUCAUGGGAGUUGUCAGAGGACAACGUUUGUUGUUAUAGAAUGGAUUUUAUUAUUAUACAACUUAAAAAGUAUUUGUGUUGAAAAUGUUCGGUAUAAAAUAAUAUUAUCGUCA